AAUUCGUGGGCUGACGCGACC
rnacentral:misc_RNA from 1 species